rnacentral:rRNA from 1 species
AACCUGCCCAAGAGAUCGGGAUAACACCUGGAAACAGAUGCUAAUACCGGAUAAUAACAGAUGAUGCCUAUCAACUGUUUAAAAGAUGGUUCUGCUAUCACUCUUGGAUGGACCUGCGGUGCAUUAGCUAGUUGGUAGGGUAACGGCCUACCAAGGCGAUGAUGCAUAGCCGAGUUGAGAGACUGAUCGGCCACAUUGGGACUGAGACACGGCCCAAACUCCUACGGGAGGCAGCAGGU